CCUACGGGUGGCAGCAGUGGGGAAUAUUGGGCAAUGGGCGCAAGCCUGACCCAGCAACGCCGCGUGAAGGAAGAAGGCUUUCGGGUUGUAAACUUCUUUUGUCAGGGACGAAGCAAGUGACGGUACCUGACGAAUAAGCCACGGCUAACUACGUGCCAGCAGCCGCGGUAAUACGUAGGUGGCAAGCGUUAUCCGGAUUUACUGGGUGUAAAGGGCGUGUAGGCGGGGAAGGAAGUCAGAUGUGAAAACCACGGGCUCAACCUGUGGCUUGCAUUUGAAACUGUUUUUCUUGAGUACUGGAGAGGCAGACGGAAUGCCUGGUGUAGCGGUGAAAUGCGUAGAUAUUAGGCGGAACACCAGUGGCGAAGGCGGUCUGCCGGACAGCUACUGACGCUGAGGCGCGAAAGCGUGGGGAGCAAACAGGAUUAGAUACCCCGGUAGUC
rnacentral:rRNA from 1 species